UCUUCAGCUCUUGUGAUUAAUUGCCAGAU
rnacentral:piRNA from 1 species